GUGAGGGCGGUGGAGGAGGGGGGGGUAAUAAGGGGGAGGGGGGCGAUAUCUGGGUUGUUUGGGUUUAAAGGGGGCGUAGGGGGAAAAAGAAGGCAGUGGUGAAAAACUGCAGCGUAACUGUAGAAUUGCCAUUGAUACUGUUAGUCUUGAGUAUGGGCAAGGGAGGCGGAAUGUGUAAUGUAGCGGUGAAAUGCUUAGAUAUUACACAGAACACCGAUUGCGAAGGCAGCUUACUGGACCAUUACUGACGCUGAUGCACGAAAGCGUGGGGAUCAAACAGGAUUAGAUACCCUAGUAGUC
rnacentral:rRNA from 1 species